AUGGCGCCUCAGACCGGCGACGAGGGGGACGUGGAUCUGAGGGUGCAAGCCAUCCUCGUCUGGUCCCUCGGCUCGCCACGCAAAUCCCCAGACUCAGUCUGCAGUCCUGGUUCCGUCCCGCGUACGACGCGCUCUCCGAACUCACCCAAAGGCCAAAGUUCCCCGCCUCCACGUGAGAGCCCGCGCCGCCGUGACCCGGAAGUCAAUGUCGACUCGCCGGCCCGUCCCCGCAAGAGACGGCUUCUUCCGGGUCGCGGCCUUUCUGGGCGCUCGGUUGCCGUGGAAACGGCGGCCAUGACCGCGGCCAUGGCGGCGCCCGGACCUGUGGGCCGCACCGCCCAGCGCUUGGAAGGGACAGUCUCCAACGAGUCGUCCAUUACUGCCAGGACGCAGGUGCCCGUAGUGUCUCCUGAGUCCCUCGAUCUGCCCGUCUCGCCGGUGCAGGUUUCGGAGCUACCUAGCAAGAACCUGUGGGAGCAGAUCUGCGAGGAGUAUGAAGCUGAGCUUCCUCCCUUUCCUGAAGGAUAUAAAGUCAAACAAGAUGCUGUGGUUACUGAGUUGCCAUUGGAGGAAAUGGUUUUCCAUGGCUUCAACGCAGAACACCUUUAUCCAGUUCCUCGUUUAACCGUGGCCUCACAAGCAUCCUGUUCUCAAGCGAAACGGGAAACAGUUGACCCAAAAACAUGUUCCCCCAAAGAGUUUUUGGAAAUGUUCAUCUUUCCAGUUCUGCUGCCCGGAAUGGCUAGCCUGCUUCACCAAGCAAAGAAAGAAAAGUGUUUUGAGAGGAAAAGAACCAAAUUCAUUGCCUGUGAUUUUCUGACUGAAUGGUUAUACAACCCACGGCCGGCAAUCCCGCUCUCCCUCCUGCUGACAGAAUCGGAAGCAGCACUCUGUAUCCAGUCCUUCUGGAGAGCCUACCUGGUUCGCUGCGAUCCUGAGAUACAAGAAUUGCGUCAGUGGCAGAAGAAGCUGCGAGAGGACAAGCAUAUUCGCCAGCGAGUCAAAAUCUUCUGGGCCAAACAAGAACAAAAAGUGAAAUGCAAAAUGGAGGAUGAGGAAGAGGCUGCAGCUAAGACUCCACAACCUUAA
rnacentral:lncRNA from 1 species